UACGUAGGGUGCAAGCGUUAAUCGGAAUUACUGGGCGUAAAGCGUGCGCAGGCGGUUUUGUAAGUCUGUCGUGAAAUCCCCCGGGCUCAACCUGGGAAUUGCGAUGGAGACUGCAAGGCUAGAAUCUGGCAGAGGGGGGGUAGAAUUCCACGUGUAGCAGUGAAAUGCGUAGAGGUGUGGAGGAACACCGAUGGCGAAGGCAGCCCCCUGGGUCAAGAUUGACGCUCAUGCACGAAAGCGUGGGGAGCAAACAGG
rnacentral:rRNA from 1 species